rnacentral:rRNA from 2 species
GGGUUAAAUAAAUCAUCAAGGUAUUGCCUUAGUAGCGGCGAGUGAAGCGGCAAGAGCUCAAAUUUGAAAUCUGGCUCCCCCGGGGUCCGAGUUGUAAUUUGCAGAGGAUGCUUCGGGUGCGGUCCCCAUCUAAGUGCCCUGGAACGGGCCGUCAUAGAGGGUGAGAAUCCCGUCUGGGAUGGGCGGCCGUGCCCGUGUGAAGCUCCUUCGACGAGUCUAGUUGUUUGGGAAUGCAGCUCUAAAUGGGUGGUAAAUUUCAUCUAAAGCUAAAUAUUGGCCGGAGACCGAUAGCGCACAAGUAGAGUGAUCGAAAGAUGAAAAGCACUUUGAAAAGAGAGUUAAACAGCACGUGUAAUUGUUGAAAGGGAAGCGCUUGCUACCAGACUCGCCUGCGGGGGUUCAGCCGGUACUCGUACCGGUGUACUCCCCCGUGGGCGGGCCAGCGUCGGUUUGGGCGGUCGGUCAAAGGCCCCCGGAAUGUGUCGCCUCUCGGGGCGUCUUAUAGCCGGGGGUGCAAUGCGGCCAGCCUGGACCGAGGAACGCGCUUCGGCACGGACGCUGGCGUAAUGGUCGUAAGCGGCCCGUCUUGAAACACGGACCAGG